rnacentral:rRNA from 1 species
CACGUAGGGCGCAAGCGUUGUCCGGAAUUAUUGGGCGUAAAGAGCUCGUAGGCGGACUGUCACGUCCGCUGUGAAAAGCUAGGGCUUAACCCUGGCCUUGCAGUGGAUACGGGCAGACUAGAGGUAGGUAGGGGAGAAUGGAAUUCCCGGUGUAGCGGUGAAAUGCGCAGAUAUCGGGAGGAACACCGGUGCGAAGGCGGUUCUCUGGGCCUUACCUGACGCUGAGGAGCGAAGCGUGGGGAGCGAACGG